rnacentral:misc_RNA from 1 species
CAACCCUCAAGCCUUGGUUGCUUGGUGUUGGGGCCACUGCAGCUCGCUGCAGGCCCUGAAAACAAGUGGCGGACCCCUAAGGCACCCCAGCGUAGUAAUUUUUCUUAGCUGAGGGCUCCCUGUGGAUGUCCUGCUGGUGGCAGCACCACCUACUAUAAUCUUU